GACGAACGCUGGCGGCGUGCUUAACACAUGCAAGUCGAACGGAAAGGCCUGCUUUCCCUUGUGGAUUGCGGGUACUCGAGUGGCGAACGGGUGAGUAACACGUGAGUGAUCUGCCCCCAACUUGGGUAUAAGCCUGGGAAACUGGGUCUAAUUCCCGAUAGGACUGCAGGGUGGUGCCUGUGGUGGAAAACGAUUUUCUAGUGGUUGGGGAUGAGCUCGCGGCCUAUCAGCUUGUUGGUGGGGUAAUGGCCUACCAAGGCGGCGACGGGUAGCCGGCCUGAGAGGGUGGACGGCCACAUUGGGACUGGGAUACGGCCCAGACUCCUACGGGAGGCAGCAGUGGGGAAUAUUGCACAAUAGGCGGAAGCCUGAUGCAGCGACGCCGCGUGGGGGAUGACGGCCUUCGGGUUGUAAACUCCUUUCGACCGCGAGGAAGCCACCUGGUUGGAAGGGUGGUGACGGUAGUGGUAGAAGAAGCACCGGCUAACUACGUG
rnacentral:rRNA from 1 species